UACGAGGGGGGCGAGCGUUGUUCGGAAUUACUGGGCGUAAAGCGCACGCAGGCGGUCUGUUAAGUCAGAUGUGAAAUCCCCGGGCUUAACCUGGGAACUGCAUUUGAAACUGGCAGGCUUGAGUCUUGUAGAGGGGGGUAGAAUUCCAGGUGUAGCGGUGAAAUGCGUAGAGAUCUGGAGGAAUACCGGUGGCGAAGGCGGCCCCCUGGACAAAGACUGACGCUCAGGUGCGAAAGCGUGGGGAGCAAACAGG
rnacentral:rRNA from 1 species